rnacentral:rRNA from 1 species
AAAUUGAAGAGUUUGAUCAUGGCUCAGAUUGAACGCUGGCGGCAGGCCUAACACAUGCAAGUCGAACGGUAACAGGAAGCGCUUGCUGCUUCGCUGACGAGUGGCGGACGGGUGAGUAAUGUCUGGGAAACUGCCUGAUGGAGGGGGAUAACUACUGGAAACGGUAGCUAAUACCGCAUAACGUCGCAAGACCAAAGAGGGGGACCUUCGGGCCUCUUGCCAUCGGAUGUGCCCAGAUGGGAUUAGCUUGUUGGUGGGGUAACGGCUCACCAAGGCGACGAUCCCUAGCUGGUCUGAGAGGAUGACCAGCCACACUGGAACUGAGACACGGUCCAGACUCCUACGGGAGGCAGCAGUGGGGAAUAUUGCACAAUGGGCGCAAGCCUGAUGCAGCCAUGCCGCGUGUAUGAAGAAGGCCUUCGGGUUGUAAAGUACU